ensembl:lincRNA
GGGGGGGGUAAGAGGGUUUCGUCUUUUCCUGCUGCCCCCUUCCGGCUCGGGGAAGUGGCGGGACCUUGGCAGCGCCCGGAGCGGGGCGGCUCUAAUCGAGGGACGCCUGGGCCCAAGUGGCAGGGACCCGGCCGAAGAGCAGAGUUGGCUUUUCCAGACUGGGGCUCAGCCCGCCCCUCCUUCAGGACCCUCCCCUCGGGACCGAGCCGAUCGCCGCGGGCGGUUGGGGCCAGCUCUCUUGGCGCGGUGGGUACAGCUUGUGCGGUUUUCCCCUCCCCCUUUUCUCCUCUCCCCUCCCUUUUUCUCCCCUCCCCUCCCUUUUUCUCCCCUCCACUCUCCACGGGUCCGGCGCUGCUGGGGAGGGCGGGAAGGCCGCGCCCGCCUGGCGGGGAUAGCCAGGCCGGGGCUCCUAGCCCAGGUUACCGGGACUGCAGAAGGAAGGCGUGGGUGGGUGGCUGGCUUCAGGCCCUCAGGACUGCCUCCCUAAAUCCCGUGACACCUAAGGUAAAUCGAGUCAAAUAACUUUUUAAAAAAAUAUGAUCAAAGGGAUUCCUCCCCACCCCCAUCUGAUACCUGUGGCAUGUAUGGAGCGAGGUGGAGCGUGUCUGGCUAGGGUGUGUGAAAUCGAAAGAAUAGGGGCCAAAGAGAUUCCAGAAGAGGAAAUUAGCUAGUAAUUCUUUCCAACCUUUGCUGCCCUAGUCACCUCCCCAGCAUGUUCUGUAAAACAAAAUGUCAAUUUGACUUUCAGUUUCAUUAUUUGAACUCCAUAAUACACUUAAAUUGUUUUCUUCUCCAGAUGGGGGGAGUGGUUAUUGCUGAAACUAAGCAAUAGCCCUCUCCACCUCCAAAAAAGAAAAACGUCAAUCAAAGCUUUGUAAAAACCUAUCAGAUUUUAGUAAUCUACUACUUUGCCUUCAGAUAUACUUAUGACACUAGUUCUAUCACGACUGUCCCUUCGUAGUUAAUGACUCAUAGAAAUUCACUCUAGUAAGAUUAGAUUUCAAUAGUGCGUCUUUCUUCUUUUUCCUUGAUAACAUUUGUUACAGCCAGUUCAAGAGAACACUGUUACAGACGGCCAUCUUAGAAUUAUAACAUUUUAGAGUUGGAAGGGAGUUUAGUUCGAACCCUGUUAUUUUACAGAAGCAGAAAUGAGGGCUCAGAAUACUUCAUGGCUUGCCUAAGGCUACUCAACUAGUUAGAUUAGAACCCAGGUUGUCUGGCUCCUUGCCCACCACUCUUUCUGUGCUCCAUAUAGCCUCCAAGCACAAAAAUGAAAUGUAUUCAAUUCAACACACAUUUCUGAAGAGUAUACUACUUUGUGCCAUUAGUUGUGCUAUCACUUUUGAUGUAUUUCAGUGUAUUCAACAUGCUUAUGAAGUGCUUGAGAUUUUUUUCUCCCCACCAUUCAAGAAGUGGCAACAGUUUGGGUUAAAAAGAUUUAUACACACAUGCACAUAUACAUAUGUGUACUUGUAUUUGUCCAGAUAAUUUCUUGAAGGAUACACAAGAAAAAUGUUAACAGUGGUUACUUAUAGAGAAGAGGGGUGAGAGACUUUACUUUGUACUUAAUAUGUGGCUUAGUGUACUGUUUGAAUUUCUUACCAUAAACAAGUAUUGAUUUUAUAAUUGAAACAAAUUUUCAAGUUCACACACACAUAUAUGUAUAUCAGCAUUAAAAAGUAUAUACCAAUGAUAUGCACAUGUAUUUAUAUACAUAUAUGUGUCUGUACUGUAAAAUCCAGUGUGGUUAAUGUCAGCUCAGCUGACAAAGCAGGCCUGAUUAUUGGAUACUCAUGUUUCUCCUUUGGUUUUCUUUUAUUCCUCUCUCCUAAUGUAAAAUGGUAAAAAUGAUAUGUUACUAGUCUUUAUGUAUUUUUAGAAAAUGUGCUAAGUUUUUUUUGAUUAUUGAAUAAUGUAUCAAGAUAUAAAACAUUCAGAAUGUCAAAUUUGACACAGUGAAAAAGCGGAUUAUAGAAUCUUUGUGGAUAUGAAUAAUUUUUUAAAAAGUUAAGACUAGAAAGGUCCCCAGUGAUUAGGAGUUCAGCUCUCUUAUUGUUAGGAAGAGGUUAAGACUCAAAGAAGAAAAAAUGAAUUGUCCAGCAUUAUAUCAGCUCUCUUGUUGUUACAAAUAGAUUAAGACUCAAAGAAGAAAAAGUGAAUUGCACAGGAUUAUAUAUCUGAUUAUUAACAGGGCUUGGACUAGAGCCUAGCUUCUAGUCCAGUGCCCCUUGUACAACACCUGUAAUUUUAUUGCUUUCUAGUGCAUUCGAUGAUUGCAACUAGGCUAACAAAAUAAUGCUGACUAAAGGUUAGCCAAGCCCAUUUCAAUAAGAAUUAUUGUAAUGAAUGUACCAGUUAAUUAGUAUGGUGCUUGAAAUAUUUUAGUAACAUUAAUGUUCUCCUUACUUUUGUUGUAAACAUGAAUUUAUUUCGUAAAUCCUGUUUAUAUUUGUAAAUGUUUAGAGACACCACAUGUAAAAUAAUGGUAUUUCACUGCUUUUGUUCGGUCUAAUAUUUAAGUCUGGUAGCUAGUGCUAGCAGGGAAAUAAAAAGCUAUGGUUUACAAAAUAAACACUUACCGAAUACCUACUAUGUGCCAGGCAUUGUACUAUGUGGUAGGGUUCCAAAGAUGACUAUGGCAAAACAGAUGCCCUUGUUCUUUAGAGGCUGAGAGAUUAUCAUUAGCUGUCAAUUCUCAAGCUUUGUCUCUGUGGGCUAAUCUGGUAAUAGUAUUAUAAAAUGUUAGCACUGUUUAAGGUCAUUGUGUGAGUAGAUUUGAGGAGACAAAAAGUAGUGGUAAAAAAAUUAAUAUUACAGUUAACAAAUAUCAUUUUUCUGUCUUAGACAUCAUAUGGUACAGUGGAAAGGGUCCUGGAUUGGUUGCCAUAGGACCUGGGUUCUUGUCUUUAUUUUGUUUCCAGUUAGCUGUGCGAUUGUGCCUCUUGGUGCCUUCAUAUUUCUUUUAUUUUUUCACAACGUUUUUUGAUAUUUUUAUUGAUUCAAAACAUAAAAGGGAUAUUUUGAAUAUUUUAAGUUAUAAAAGAGAUAUGUGUUUCUUAUAGAAAAUUUAUAAAACUUGAAAUAGGAUAAAGAAUUAGGAUCAUAUUGUAUACAGAUUGUUUUAAUCCUUUUUCUCCCAUUCAACGUUCUAUCAUGAGCAUUUCCUAUGUCAUGCAAACUCUUUCAAAAUAUAGUUUUUAUUUAUCCUGCAUACUAUUCUAUACUACGGUUUCUUCAUCUGUAAAAUAACAAGUUGGACUAGUUGAUUCCAAAGAUUCAAAACCCAUUAUAAUAGUUUUAAAGACUGAUUAUCUCAGAUUUUAUCAAGGAAAGAAAUCUCAUAUAACAAUCCCAAGUCUGUUUGGAAUAAAUAUCUCAAAGGGACAAGAAAUUAAGAACAAGGUUGAGAUAUAAACCUUAUGGCUUAUACUUUCAUUUAUUUUUAAAUUUCACAUGCUAAGUACUUGAAUUUUAAUUUAUUAGAGCUGCAAGCAAUCUGUUUCAUUACUGUGUUAAAGGCUGGCCUAUUUAAUUUUAUUUUGUAGAGUGGGUAUGAAAUAGAUUAAAAGAGGGAGAAACGGGGCUUCUAGGUUUGAUAUUCUGAGAUUGUUUUAGCACAGGGGAGAGAAAAUUUGUGGGAGCUCAGAAGGGUUUGCCAAAGAUUCAAAUAGCUAUUAAAUUGCAGAGGUAGGAUAAAAAAUCAGUGUAUUGACAGUGGCUGGCAUGUAGUAAGUAGGUGCUGGGUAAAAAAUUAUUGACCAAAUGCCUCUGCUUGUACAAACAAAUUUAUUGGAUGAAAAGAAAAAAAUAAAACUUGGAAUAGAAUAAAAGGAAAUUUUUAGUUUCAAUCCAGCAUGUGUAAUAGAUUAGAGAAGAUAUUUACGUGUAGCUAAAGUGGUGGGAUAAAGGAAAAGGAAAAUUAGUUUGUAGAUACUGUUUGGUACAGGUGGAUACUCAUUAAAUAUGUUGUUCUAUUUUAAUUUGGUUUGUAGUCACUUAUUGUGGCACAGUUUACUUUGUAUUGUUUUUAAAAAUUCAAACCUAGACAGAAAAGAAACCUAUUAAGUAUUUGAGUAUAGACAGCAGAGUAGCUUUUAGAUAGAGCUAAAUGCUUUUAUUGGGGAAAAAGAAAAGAUGUAAUCUCUUAUCAAGAACUUGUUUGAGCAUAUGCUUGAGAUCCCAACAUGAUCAUGGAAUAAAUAGAAUGCUUCAUACUGAGAAAUGUCUAGGGGAGGUAUUACCCACUUAUAAAGUCAUCCAUUAAAAGAACCUCAGCAUGACACUUGUGGAGCCAUCUGAUUGUAAGUACUGCAUUCUAAUCAUUGUGUCAGGAUAAGUUAUCUGGACAAGUAUCAAAGCAGAAUGAGUUCCAGUUCCAGUGCCACUAAUCAGCUCUAUGGCCUUAGUCAAAUCAUUUAACUUCCUUAUGUCUUAGUUUCUUUAUCUGUGAAAUGAAAAAGUGAUUUCUACUAUUCUAUUCAGCACAAACAUAGUUAUUGUGAACAAUUUUUGUUUGUGAAUGUCUACAAAAUAUAAUGGUUUUACUUUUCAGUAUACUUGAUUCUGAGCUGCACCUUUUGUAAAAAUGGCCCCAAAUUCAUUGAUUAUUUUCACAAAGCAGUGAAUGAAUGGGUCAGAAUUCCAGAGAUAGACAUCACUCAGAAACAUUUUUCAACAAAGUCCUUUUAUUUUCAAUUCAAAUUAACAAAAAGUAGCAAUCAGGUAUUAUCAGUGUUUCUCAGCCCUCUCUGCUGCUGAUUUACUGCCAUUCAAGCAAUGGACCAAAAGGCAUUUGUUCCUGGCCAACCAACACAGACAUGACUUGAUCACUCCUUUUCUCUCUGGGACUUUGUUUUGUUUUGUUUUUUUCAGUUUUUUAUUCUUUUUUGAUAUCUUUCUCUAUUAGCAUGAGGUGCUGAUCGAUCUUUCUGGGACUUGACCUACCUGUCUGUCUGUCUGGCGUACUGUCUGUCUUCUUCUUCUGGCUUUUUUCUGCUUUUUCUUUUCUUUCUUUGCUUUUCUUUC